UGGGGAAUAUUGCACAAUGGGGGAAACCCUGAUGCAGCGACGCCGCGUGAACGAAGAAGGUAUUCGUAUCGUAAAGUUCUGACCUAUGGGAAGAUAAUGACAGUACCAUAGAAGAAAGCUCCGGCUAAAUACGUGCCAGCAGCCGCGGUAAUACGUAUGGAGCGAGCGUUGUCCGGAAUUACUGGGCGUAAAGGGUACGCAGGCGGUUUAAUAAGUCGAAUGUUAAAGAUCGGGGCUCAACCCCGUAAAGCAUUGGAAACUGAUAAGCUUGAGUAGUGGAGAGGAAAGUGGAAUUCCUAGUGUAGUGGUGAAAUACGUAGAUAUUAGGAGGAAUACCAGUAGCGAAGGCGACUUUCUGGACACAAACUGACGCUGAGGUACGAAAGCGUGGGGAGCAAACAGG
rnacentral:rRNA from 1 species